rnacentral:lncRNA from 1 species
UCCAAUCAAAAUCUACCAGCAGCGACCAAGGCGAGGCGUAGAACGGGAAUAAGAGUACUUGGUCGAGCAUCUUCUGCCAUCGUAAAAAAAUAGGAACUUGGAGGUUUAUAGAAACCAUUUUAUAAAUCAUCACGCAUGCAUCUUGAUUAUGUUUGGGAUUAUUCUGAGAUAUUGCCUCCAUUACUUAUGUUUCAGAGAAGGAAUUUAUCUUGUGAUAAAUGGAGGAGGUUCAAGACUAUGGUUGUCCCUGCAAAUGUGACUCUGUGAGAUGAAGUUUUCUACAG